GUUGAAUGUGGCUUGAGCCUUGACACUUUUAUUCUGAGGUUCCAGCUAGCCCUAAGCAGGAAUUUCUGAGAUGGAUAUGUCUCAUUGAUCUUGGAUUUGAUCUGCAGCUAUAAGUUACAAAAGAGGGAGGUCUUACUGUGAAAUACAUCAGAAUCAACUCCAAAAUGGAAGUACUAUUGUUAUCUCCGUUUACAAAUUAGGAAACUGAGGCACAGAUAUGCUCUUGGGUACUUGUCAGCAGCAGUUGUUCUACAAGUUAAAUAUCUGGAUAUCUUAAAUCUCAGAUGAGCGUCUUAGCCUCUGGAUUACUGCUCAAUGAGGAAAGCUAUGAAAUGCAUGGAUAACUUGCUAAUCAGUAUUUGCCAUAUGUGCUAGCAGCAUCAGCAUCAGUUGGGAGAUUAUGGUGGCCUCCAUGUCAGACCUCCUAAAUCGGAAUAUCAGAGAAGGUGGCCCAGGUUACCAUGCUUCAUCUGCCAAUGCAUUGAAAACUUGGAAUGUAAAUUAAUUCAACCAUUGUGGAAGAUGGUGUAGUGAUUCCUCAAAGACCUAGAAGCAGAAAUAUCAUUUGAUCCAGAAAUCCCAUUACUGUGUAUACACCCAAAGGAAUAUAAACCAUUCUAUUACAAAGAUACAUGCGUGCGUAUGUUCAUUGCAGCAUUAUUCACAAUAGUAAAGACAUAGAGUCAACCCAAAUGCCCAUCAAAGACAAACAAUAUGUGGUACAUAUACACCAUGGAAUACCAUGCACCCAUAAAAAGGAACAAGAUCACAUUUUUUGUAGGGACAUGGAUGGAGCUGGAAGGCAUUGUCCUCAGCAAAAUAACAUAGGAACAGAAAACCAAACACCCCAUGUCCUCACUUAUAAGUGGGAGGUAAACAAUGAGAACACAUGGACACAGGGAGAGGAACAACACACAUUGGGGCCUGUUGGAGGGUGGGGUGGGGGAGAGAGAGCAUUAGGAAAAGUAGCUAACUCAUGCUGGGCUCAAUGCGUAGGUGAUGGGUUGAUAGGUGCAGCAAACCACCAUGGCACAUGGUUACCUAUGUAACAAGCCUGCACAUCCUGCACAUGUACCCCAGAACUUAAAAUAAAAAUAAAAAUUUAAAAAAACUC
rnacentral:lncRNA from 10 species